rnacentral:rRNA from 1 species
CUAACAGGAUCCCUAGUAACUGCGAGUGAAGCGGGAAAAGCUCAAAUUUAAAAUCUGGUGGUCUUUGGCCAUCCGAGUUGUAAUUUAGAGAAGCGUCUUCCGCGCUAGACCAUGCAUAAGUCUCCUGGAAUGGAGCGUCAUAGAGGGUGAGAAUCCCGUCUUUGGCAUGGAUACUAGGGCUUUUGUGAUGCGCUCUCAAAGAGUCGAGUUGUUUGGGAAUGCAGCUCAAAAUGGGUGGUGAACUCCAUCUAAAGCUAAAUAUUGGCGAGAGACCGAUAGCGAACAAGUACCGUGAGGGAAAGAUGAAAAGCACUUUGGAAAGAGAGUGAAACAGUACGUGAAAUUGUUGAAAGGGAAACGCUUAAAGUCAGUCGCAUCAACUAAGAYUCAGCCUUGCCUUGGCUUGGUGUACUUCUUGGCUGAUGGGUCAGCAUCAAUUUUGAUCCUUAGAUAAUGGCAAGGGAAAUGUGGCACCUUUUUUUUAAGGUGUGUUAUAGUCCUCUGUCGGAUGUAAGGGUUGGGAUU